rnacentral:rRNA from 1 species
CCUACGGGAGGCAGCAGUGAGGAAUAUUGGUCAAUGGGCGCAAGCCUGACCCAGCAACGCCGCGUGAAGGAAGAAGGCUUUCGGGUUGUAAACUUCUUUUCUCAGGGACGAAGACAGUGACGGUACCUGAGGAAUAAGCCACGGCUAACUACGUGCCAGCAGCCGCGGUACGACGUAGGUGGCAAGCGUUAUCCGGAUUUAUUGGGAGUAAAGGGCGUGUAGGCGGGAGCGCAAGUCAGAUGUGAAAACUCAGGGCUCAACCCUGAGCCUGCAUUUGAAACUGUGUUUCUUGAGUGCUGUAGAGGCAAGCAGAAUUCCGGGUGUAGCGGUGAAAUGCGUAGAUAUACGGAGGAACACCAGUGGCGAAGGCGGAUUGCUGGACAGGAACUGACGCUGAUGUGCGAAAGCGUGGGGAGCAAACAGGAUUAGAUACCCCAGUAGUC